GAUGAACGCUAGCUACAGGCUUAACACAUGCAAGUCGAGGGGUAACGAGAGGAAAGCUUGCUUUCCUUGUCGACGACCGGCGCACGGGUGAGUAACGCGUAUCCAACCUGCCCCCAACUAGGGAAUAACCUUGCGAAAGUAAGACUAAUACCCUAUAAUUUCCUCAGAUGUCAUCUGACGAGGAAUAAAGAUUUAUCGGUUGUGGAUGGGGAUGCGUCUGAUUAGCUUGUUGGCGGGGUAACGGCCCACCAAGGCAACGAUCAGUAGGGGUUCUGGUAGGAAGGUCCCCCACAUUGGAACUGGGACACGGUCCAAACUCCUACGGGAGGCAGGAGUGAGGAAUAUUGGUGAAUGGGCGGAAGCCUGAACCAGCCAAGUAGCGUGCAGGAUGGCGGCCCUAUGGGUUGUAAACUGCUUUUAUACAGGAAUAAAGUUAGCCACGUGUGGUUAUUUGUAGGUACUGUAUGAAUAAGGACCGGCUAAUUCCGUGCCAGCAGCCGCCGUAACAC
rnacentral:rRNA from 1 species